CUAAACCUAGAUUAACCAGAAUAUUCCUUUGUAAAACAAAUGGAAAAGCUUGAUAUGACUAUGAAGACAAGAGGAUGAUUAGCCUUCCUGCUAAGGUUGAUUUAUCUUCUUUGCUAGAACAGGACUCUGUCUUUUGAACCCUGCAGGCUCCAGGGAUUGAAGAAAAGUCAGUUGGAUCAAUAUCUGGAGAGGAAGCUCUUGGGUAAAACAAAAUGCACAUCUGUGAUAUCCAGAAUUGUUUUUCCAUCUUGGGAAUUUUAGCCAAGUGGGAUCACAUUCCAGGCAACGGGGAAAUGUCUAUGACACUCAUGAACCCAGCCCACAUUCAUCAAGGCUGUGCCAUUUAUGCUAUGAGAAGGGGGUCCCUUAACAGAGCCCAAAGAAUCAGUUCUAAGCCAUAGGACUUCAGACUCCUGAGAUUGAUUCUCACCUUGUCCCAAGAAACAUCAAGUAGUAAAGCUUAUCAGGGAUCAGGACAAUCUUGUAGCCUUUGUCAACCGAAGGAUGUCAUAUUAUUUAAUAUCAUACACCUAUUAGAGGGAGAAUUGUAGGUAUGCUUCCUUCCUAAGAUUAAUGUCUCAAUACUUUUUCAUAAUAGCUUGAAAAAGAGAGGUGUAAGGUCUUAGAGAUGCCUCCUCACUCUGACCUGCAUCAGAAAAUGCAUUGACAUAAAUUUAACUUCUCCAGGUAUAUUUGAGAUUCCCCCAGAAAGGAUAAAAUUCAUACAAAAUACUUCGUUUACUAGAUGUUCCCUGGCUAUUCCAGCCAGGAGUGAUUUAAGGGACAAUAACCAUCCAGCAUGGUUUGCCCCACUUACAGGAUGUUAAUCACAUCUCACCUUGAAAUCAUUACCUGUCUGACUUUCUCCUCACUAAAUCUCUUGGCAGGUAGAGUUCUGCUCUUCACUUUGAGGCUCAGACUGCACCAGUAGCCAGUUGUGUUCUGCAUGUGGCAGGCACUUUAUGUUUUCUAUGCACCAAUCACCAAAACUAAUCUAUGUUUUCAUCUCAAGCACAUUUGUGAAUUACUCUGAAGAAAAACAAACAAAAAAGUAAAUAGCAUGGAUUAAAUGAUUAUGACUGUUUUUAAUACUUAUCAACCUGUGCAAAAACAACAAGUAUUUCAUUUGGAAUGUACAUUACAUCAUCAAACAGUAAAAUAAACAUUGUACCUGGAA